rnacentral:rRNA from 1 species
ACGAACGCUGGCGGCGUGCUUAACACCUGCAAGUCGAACGGAAAGGCCCUGCUUGCAGGGUACUCGAGUGGCGAACGGGUGAGUAACACGUGGGUGAUCUGCCCUGCACUUCGGGAUAAGCCUGGGAAACUGGGUCUAAUACCGGAUAGGAGCCAUUUUUAGUGUGAUGGUUGGAAAGUUUUUUCGGUGUAGGAUGAGCUCGCGGCCUAUCAGCUUGUUGGUGGGGUAAUGGCCUACCAAGGCGGCGACGGGUAGCCGGCCUGAGAGGGUGGACGGCCACAUUUGGACUGAGAUACGGCCCAGACUCCUACGGGAGGCAGCAGUGGGGAAUAUUGCACAAUGGGCGCAAGCCUGAUGCAGCGACGCCGCGUGGGGGAUGACGGCCUUCGGGUUGUAAACUCCUUUCGCUAGGGACGAAGCUUUUUGUGACGGUACCUAGAUAAGAAGCACCGGCUAACUACGUG